rnacentral:tRNA from 1 species
GCGGUCGUGGUGAAAUUGGUAGACACGCCAGCUUGAGGGGCUGGUGGGCUUUAGCCCGUGACAGUUCAAGUCUGUCCGAUCGCA